rnacentral:rRNA from 1 species
GACGAACGCUGGCGGCGUGCUUAACACAUGCAAGUCGAUCGGAAAGGCCCUGCUUUUGUGGGGUGCUCGAGUGGCGAACGGGUGAGUAACACGUGAGUAACCUGCCCUUGACUUUGGGAUAACUUCAGGAAACUGGGGCUAAUACCGGAUAGGAGCUCCUGCUGCAUGGUGGGGGUUGGAAAGUUUCGGCGGUUGGGGAUGGACUCGCGGCUUAUCAGCUUGUUGGUGGGGUAGUGGCUUACCAAGGCUUUGACGGGUAGCCGGCCUGAGAGGGUGACCGGCCACAUUGGGACUGAGAUACGGCCCAGACUCCUAUGGGAGGCAGCAGUGGGGAAUAUUGCACAAUGGGCGGAAGCCUGAUGCAGCAACGCCGCGUGCGGGAUGACGGCCUUCGGGUUGUAAACCGCUUUCGCCUGUGACGAAGCGUGAGUGACGGUAAUGGGUAAAGAAGCACCGGCUAACUACGUG